GUCCCUGUUGGCCCAGGGCCUCACGAUCCUUGAACGCCCCUCUCCCCCGAUAUGGCUGGCGUUGGAGAACGCCUGCACACCUAAUGGCUCAAUCCCACUAUCCCUGUGGGCAGGGUCAAAACUUCCCAAAGCCACAUCCUUGCUGCCCACCACAGUCGCGCUCUUUCAUAACUGGAAGCAAACUACACCGCUCUUCUUACGAAAUAACGACCUACUCCUAGCUGCCC